ACUCCUACGGGAGGCAGCAGUGGGGAAUAUUGGGCAAUGGGCGCAAGCCUGACCCAGCAACGCCGCGUGAAGGAAGAAGGCUAUCGGGUUGUAAACUUCUUUUGUCGGGGACGAGUAGAAGACGGUACCUGACGAAUAAGCCACGGCUAACUCCGUGCCAGCAGCCGCGGUAAUA
rnacentral:rRNA from 1 species